UACCAUCUAAAUUCAUAAUAUAGUCAAGGAAGAAAAUUGCACUUCAAAUUUUUCUCCCCUGUCUAGUGGAGCUAGAUUCAGCUGUGAUAGCCAGGUACCUCGUUAGAUGUCUACAUUACAGACGUCCGUAUUGGUCAGGGAACAGCUCAGCCAGCCUCAAGAGAUAAUGCUAACAUGCAUUAGUAGUGUCGAACACUACCUGUAGUAGUGCACUCCUGGCAUGAACUGUCUCAGGAAUUACAGACAUUGCUACUGACCACUGGAGUACAGCCUACGCUCCCCGAAGUCCCAAGAAAGAAGCAGAUGGGUUCAGCUGGCAGUUACAAAACAGAACAAUGGCUUUGCAAUGGAAGUAUUUCUAUGUUUUUAAAAAUGUAAUCCUAAGCAAUCUGAAUUAAUACCACUCCUGUAUCAUUCAUUAACUCUUAGUUAUGUGCAAAAUAAUAACUGGCAUCAUUUUUAUAACCAUAAAGCAUAGCCCAGAAGAUGCUUAUGUAAAAAAAAUACAGGGUAAGAUACACACAGUGUCAGUUACGCUGACAUAAAGAAGGAAGAACUCUAUGCAUUCAAAAGAAGCAAGCAGUGGGUUGUUUUGUUUUGUUUAUCUUUUUAACCAAAUGCCUAAUUGAAUUGUGGUAGCUAUGUCCAAAAGACACUAUAUUACUUCAGAAAGGGCUUAAACAAAUUCAUAGAGGACUGGUUCAUUAGAAGUUAUUAAACAUAUUUGGCACAGGAAUUUCCUAAAUUCCAGGCUGAUAAUGAGUGGGAUGGCAUUCGGGGCAGGAGUUGUUCCUGAUUUCCCCAUGUCCUAUACUCUUUCCCUAACCAGCUACUACCAGCCUCUUCUAAAGAGGGAGGACCUUGGUCACAUUUCUGGUAUGGCUCAGCAUAAGACAUCUUAUGUUUGGAAUAACUAGGCUUCAGCGACAAAUAUCUGAGUCAUUUACAUGGAUAAAAUAUUACACUUAAAUUCUUCUUCUGGAUCAAAGGAAACACACCUUACAUACGGAUCUAAGAAUUUAUAGUUACUGCAAUUGAAAUCAAGGUAAUAUAAUCAAAGCACAACGGUUAUUACAGUCCUGUUAUGAUCAUAGUAACACUUUUAGUUAAUAACACAGUUAAGACUGAUAAACAAAAACAUUCUUCUGUGGUGUUAUGCUCACCGGUCCAAUGUUCACUUGUCUCUGAAGGUCAUCAGCUUCAGUCCUCCUCUAGAAGGAUAUUUUCUGUCAUUCUUGCAGUGACUCACCCAGUACUUCCAGUGCCACAGUAUACUUGUUUUUCUGUUACUAUCCCUGAAACCUCUUUCACCUGACUCACAUUUGUUUAUUUAUUUGUCUGUAUAUACCUUUAGUCACCAGUGUCUGGCCAGCGUGAUUUGUGUGUAAAGUCCUAGUGUAUCUUGUGUCAUCUUGUGCCUGCCCUCACCUAAACCCUACUAUUUAUUCUAGGGUCAUAAGAUAGUUCACCCUGCACAGAGUACUUGCUUUGCUACUUAUCCAUGAACAAUAGGCAGUACACCAUACAAUUCCACAAAGCUUAACUAAAGCUUAAACAACUUUAGAUGAUGUUUACUUCAUGACUAGACGAUUGUUGUCGCAACUGAAAGAAGCUAAAAUCAGCACAGGCUAAGACAAGUCCAGACAAGCCAUGGAAUCUUGCAACAUCAGGUCAAUACAACGCCUAUGCAAGUAAUGACAAAACAGUAUAUAGUAAAAAAAUAAAAAAGAGAAGAUUUCUUACACCUAAUUGCACUCGUUUUGCCUAGAUAUUAAAGAGAAUAAAAAAGUGACAGAAGUAGUAAAAAUUCAGUGAGCUAGACAAGAAGAGAACAAGUUGGUUUUCUCUGUUUCUGUCGUCUCCCCAGUAAGUCUGAAGUGACUUUGUUUGGAUCAAUAUAGGUAUCUUGCUUGUGCAGUCAAACUGCUUAUACUGUUCAAAAAUGCAUGCCUUUAGAAUUGUUUUCAUUGUUUUCCAAUGAAGCAUAUUUAAAUGACAGCAUAGAUUCUCCUAUUAUUUACCAGACAUAAAUCAGAAGCAGUUCUACUACGUCAAGGAAAAACUGCUGUGAGCAAGUGCUGAAGAAUGUGGCCACAGCAUUUAAAAUUAAUAUGUUCAGUGUAUGCUCUAUUUGUAUUCCCUGCUUUCUUUCCGCUAAACAUUUCUUUGUUCUUUAGGAUAUGAGCCAUAUUUCUCAAGGGUAAUGCUUUAUUCUCUAAAACAAUAAACAUAUUGACCACUACUAUGAAUCUUGUAAGACAAUUUGCACUACAUUAGCAGGCCAUGAAUCUCCCUUUCUAAGAAUCCAUAUUACAAAACAGAAGUUUAAGCAAAAACAUGGCAUUACAUUGAUUUCUUGGGAAGUAAUAUACACAAAUGUGUUUACACCGAAAGAUACAUGUGCACAUGCAAAACAUACACAGAGUUGCAUAAAUACCAUGUAUUUCACAAACAAAUCAAUGUCUACUUGACUGAGCUAUCUUUCUCUUAGAUUUGGUACCAAUUCUAUCUGUAUGAAAUAUUGAUUCUUAAUCAAUUCAAAAAGAAUAUGGGCCUCAGAUUACUGUUACCGUCCACAAAUAUCUUUUUUUUUUUUUCCAGAUUGUAUAAUAAGGCAGGCUUUCUAUCUACAUUUGUCAUUAUAUGUAUAUUAUAUGUACAUACAUAUACACCAUUAUACAGUGGUGGAAUAUUUUCUUGAGAAGGGAUAAACAAGUAUGCCUAAUCAAUUUUAACCAGUGGCAUCCACUUAGGCAUAUGUAUGCUGUGACAUAUAAAUAACAUCCAUGUCUUCUUUGGCUUCUGGGACCCAGUGGGAAGAUUCUAUGUCUAUUAUUAGACUUAAUUGUAAUUGUUCUCCAUGAGAAGUAGUUUUCUUUGUUACAGAAGCAAAAAUUCUGCCUUCAACAACAAUGUAUUUUUUUUUGUUGUUUCUUUUUUUCCCAACCAUCUGGUUUGGUAUUAUGGUAAUUAUCAAGACUAUGAAAAGGGAGCACCAGUAUUGAAAUCUGUAGGCAUUCUACCUUGUAUGACUUUGGUGGAUUAAGAUUUAUACUUUGAUAAGGACAUGUGACAAAUGUGAUGGUGUAAGCUGAAACUUUUUUUCUCCUCAGUUGAUUGUCAGCUUUGAUUUUUCCAUGUUUUACUGCUGCUUACAUUUUCAUGACAUUUUCUUUCUUUCAGAGGAUGCUACAUUGUCAGUUGCUAACUGCUCUAACUGUCUUACAGGAAUUUUCAUGGGAUUCAUUUGUUCUUGCAACAAGUUUACUACAUAGCCAUUCAGAAAAAAGCUGGUACUGGCAUUCAUCAAUGAUACACUGGGGUAAAAGGAAUCAAGAUAAGUAAUUUAAAAGGAUUGGCUCUUAUUCUUACACAAUAUUAAGAGCAUUUUGGACCUGCACUAAGAAAGGUCUUCUUAGCACCUGAGUGUCCAUCAUCAGCCUUGAGCUGUGCGAUCAACACCAAGAAACAGGUGGUUUGAGGAGGAGAAUUCAUAUUUCAUUUUUGUAAAUAAAAAAAAAAAAUCUUUAUUAGUUUUGAAGAGACUGUCCAAACUACCUGGAAGCAAAUACCAAGGCUGUGUCCUCAUAGUCAUCCACACAGAGUCAAGGAUAUGUUUCGAUACAAUCUAAAAUCGUAGGAUUUUCUCCAGUCUGGUUUCACCCUAAACUACAUGACUGGAGCAGCUGACAUGUCAGCCCUCUGGAUGAUCAGGACAAUGAGUCUUAAAACCACAUAUAGUUGUCUUGACUGUCAGUAGCUGGGCUUAAGCAAGAGAAAAAUACUCCUGCAGGCCUACACAAAAUCAGUGUCAGCUGCUCCCAUGCCCAUUUGCAGUACAGCAAAAGUAGGCAACUACAGUUCCAAUUUUAAAUCAAAUUAAGUAGCUCCUUUUUACAAUCACAGUAAAAUUCUCUCCAAGUAUUUCAGGUAUCCGAGUAACACUCACAAUUAUACCAACAGAAAGCUAUAAUGAGAAUGAGUUAGGCUUGUGUCUUUUGCAAUCAUCUUCAGAAUGGAUUCCAUUUAAUGCCAUUUUCUAUUCUCAUUACAAUCUUUGUCAGGCAAAGGCAUCAGAAUUUUAAUGGCCAGUACAGUCUGUUUAAAAACUAUAAACUCUUAAUGGACUUACAAACAGAGACUUUAACCUUUUAAAUAUGCUGGACUCAUCUCACUUCCCUCUCCUUACAGAGUUCAGGAGAUACACACAGGAGAGAAUAGAGAUGGCAAAAGCAGAACGCCAGCCAUUUAUAAAGGAAAACUAGGAUAACUGAAAUCAAGAACAUGUAGUAAGGAUCUGGAAGUCACAGUCCUUGAGAUCCAUGUGACCUUGGAUAAACUUAAGUUGAUAUUUUAAAAAAAAUCAGUGGAAUCCCCAAAUCCACAGUAGGCAGUUGGCAAAGUGAUCUGGAGAUCUGAGGUCCUAAAUUUUUUGUCACCUCUUUGAUGUAUGUGUGGAUUACUUAUCCAAGAAAGGCAAAGGACCUCUCCUGGCUUGUGCUGAGUUUAUGUCCAUCAGAAGCCAAGGCAUCAACAAAGGAAAGCCAAGGACCUGGGAACUUGGAUCUUGUAGAAACACAGCAACUGAUACAAGGUGAAGCAGAACACACUGUGCCUUUAGACUGCUGUCUUUCUUUCCUUCAAAAUGUCUUCACAAUGAAUCCUGGCAUGUUUGUUUAAAAUAGCAACAUAGAAAUCCCAAAAUAUCCAUUUGCAACUCAUUUGGGGAUUCAUCACUGGGAAAAUAAGUAUUUUUGUAAUGAUGUAUAGAUUUCAGAGACCAUGAGUUAGGACUUUAUGCCUAUAAAGUUCAAUGCAGCACCGUGUGGAGAUUAGUUUGUGGCAGCAUAUUAACUGCAGUUGUUCAGUUCUCUAUCCAAGCUAACCCACCUUCUUCUUGAAUAAAUUCUCUAGAGAUAGGACUGAUUUGAACAAGUGUGUAUGUCUUCACCUGAUAUAGUCAUGGAGAUAAAUACGUACUUCUCAGUGAAAUUAUUUGAAGAUAAUGCAUCUAAAACUGGUUAGAUAAAUUGUUUACUAAUAGUACUUAUUUCUUUCUGUUGAUGGUUGCUUUGUAUUGACUGUAGGGUGCACAGAUAAAUAUCUACAUGGUAUAUAUUUAAAAGCAUGAGCCAAAGUCCAUUCAUGGUGCUACAGAACCAGCUUAGGUGGUUUGACCUUCUGUCAACGCUCUGCCUAAUGCACACCAAGAGGCUGUUGACCUUCUUUGCCACAGGGGCACACUGCUGACAUGCUUAACUUGUUGUCCACCAGGACUGCCAGCUCCUUCUCUGCAGACCCGGUCCCCAGCCUGUACUGGUACAUGAGGUUAUUCCUCCUUUGGUGCAGGACGUGGCUUUUCCCUUCACUGAACUUCACAAGGGUUCUGUCAGCCCAUUUCUCCAGCCUGAGAAGGUCCUUCUGAAUAGCAGUACAACCAUGUGGUGAACAAAACACUCCUCCCAGUUUUGUGUUGUCUGCAAUCCAGUCUUGCCUUGUGUUAAGGAUGCUUGUAGCUUUGGCAGUAUCAAUUAAAAUUUGUGAUUCUAGAAAAUAUCAGGUUUCCAGACAAAAGCCUGUAAGUGUUAGAUUCUUGAAAGAACAUCAUCAAGGUGGGGUAGUUUGGCUAGAGCUGAAAAGCCUGGGGUUUUCUGUAAGUUUUUGAUAAUUUCAGGCCAGCUUCCAGAGGACAAAUUCUUUAUUGUUCUGACAUUUCACCAGAUUAAGUCAGAGAUAUUUUGAGCAAAACAUGUUGAUCAUAGCAGUCAGUUGCUUUUGGAAAAGGCCUAUAACCUGGAAAAAAACAGCAACUGCAUCAAUCUUUUUUUUUACUCUUUCAUCUAUAAAUGUCAGAGGGAUAAAAAACCCCCAAAACACGGCACUAAAAGUCUUCUAUUAUUCUGGGAAAAUUGUUUAUUUUUCUUGAGUCUGGGGUUGUAGCAUUUCCAAUGCAAAUGCUAAAUUAAGUGUAUCUGAGCCUAUAUCCUGUGAAUAUUCAAACAAGUUAUUAGUAAUGAAAUACAUUUAUUUACUCAUUCAGGUAUGACUUGCAUGAUCUAGUAUAGUCUUAUAUAAAAAGCAGAUAAACCUUAUUCAACAAUGUGUUUAAGAAUAAAUUUAUUUAAAGAAGAAAAUUCAAAUCACCCAAACACACAUUUUAAAUGAAACAUGCUGUGUUGGGUUUGCGUGGCAAGGUUUUGGUAGCAAGGGGAGCUACAGGGGGUGGCUUCUGUGAGAAGAUCCCAGAAUCUUCCCCCAUGUCCGACAGAGCCAAUGCCAGCCAGCUCCAAGAUGGACCCGCUGCUGGCCAAGGCUGAGCCCAUCAGCGAUGGUGGUAACACCUCUUGGAUAAAAUAGUUAAGAAGGGGAGAAAACCUGCUGUGCAAUGGCAGCUGGAAGAGAGGAGUGAGAAGAUGUGAGAGGAACAACUCUGCAGACACCCAGAUCAGUGAAGAAGGAGGGGGAGGAGGUACUCCGGGUGCCAGAGCAGAGAUUCCCCUGCAGCCCAUGGAGAAGACCAUGGUGAGGCAGGCUGUCCCCCUGCAGCCCAUGGAGGAUGAUGGUGGAGCAGAUAUCCACCUGCAGCCCAUGGACGACCCCAUGCUGGAGUAGGUGGAUGCACCCAGAGGAGGCUGUGACCCCAUGGGAAGCCCACGCUGGAGCAGGCUCCUGGCAGGACCUGUGGCCCCGUGGAGAGAGGCGCCCACGCUGGAGCAGGUUUGCUGGCGGGACUUGUGACCCUGUGGGGACCCACGCUGGAGCAGUCUGGUCCUGAAGGUCUGCACCCCAUGGAAGGACCCAUGCUGGAGCAGUUUGUGAAGAACUGCAGCCGAUGGGAAGGACUCAAGUUGGAGAAGUUCGUGGGAGGGACCCCAUGCUGGAGGAGGGUAAGAGUGUGAGGAGAAAAAAGCAGCAGAGACAACGUGUGAUAAACUGGGUGUUGAACCCAGGAAGAAGGGAGGGGUGGGGAGAAGGUGUUUUUAAGAUUUAUUUUUUAUUUCUCAUUAUCCUACUCUGAUAUGAUUGGUAAAUUAAAUUAGUUUCCAC